AGUGAACGCUGGCGGUAGGCCUAACACAUGCAAGUCGAACGGCAGCACAGUAAGAGCUUGCUCUUACGGGUGGCGAGUGGCGGACGGGUGAGGAAUACAUCGGAAUCUACUUUUUCGUGGGGGAUAACGUAGGGAAACUUACGCUAAUACCGCAUACGACCUACGGGUGAAAGCAGUGGAUCUUCGGACCUUGCGCGAUUGAAUGAGCCGAUGUCGGAUUAGCUAGUUGGCGGGGUAAAGGCCCACCAAGGCGACGAUCCGUAGCUGGUCUGAGAGGAUGAUCAGCCACACUGGAACUGAGACACGGUCCAGACUCCUACGGGAGGCAGCAGUGGGGAAUAUUGGACAAUGGGCGCAAGCCUGAUCCAGCAAUACCGCGUGGGUGAAGAAGGCCUUCGGGUUGUAAAGCCCUUUUGUUGGGAAAGAAAAGCAGCAGGUUAAUACCCCGCUGUUCUGACGGUACCCAAAGAAUAAGCACCGGCUAACUUCGUG
rnacentral:rRNA from 1 species